rnacentral:rRNA from 1 species
UACGUAGGUGGCAAGCGUUGUCCGGAAUUAUUGGGCGUAAAGCGCGCGCAGGUGGUUUCUUAAGUCUGAUGUGAAAGCCCACGGCUCAACCGUGGAGGGUCAUUGGAAACUGGGGAACUUGAGUGCAGGAGAGAAGAGUGGAAUUCCACGUGUAGCGGUGAAAUGCGUAGAGAUGUGGAGGAACACCGGUGGCGAAGGCGGCCUGCUGGGCAGUUGCUGACACUGAGGCGCGACAGCGUGGGGAGCAAACAGG